AAUCCUGGCUCCAGGAUGAACGCUAGCGGCAGGCUUAAUACAUGCAAGUCGGACGGGAUUGAGGAGCUUGCUUCUCAUGAGAGUGGCGCACGGGUGCGUAACACGUAUGUAACCUACUUGUUCAGGGGGAUAGCCUCUCGAAAGAGAGAUUAAGACCGCAUAAAAUCACAUUGCAGCAUUGCAAAAUGAUCAAAUAUUUAUAGGAACAAGAUGGGCAUGCGGAACAUUAGCUAGUUGGUAAGGUAACGGCUUACCAAGGCUACGAUGUUUAGGGGAUCUGAGAGGAUGACCCCCCACACUGGUACUGAGACACGGACCAGACUCCUACGGGAGGCAGCAGUAAGGAAUUUUGGUCAAUGGGCGGAAGCCUGAACCAGCCAUGCCGCGUGCAGGAAGACGGCCCUACGGGUUGUAAACUGCUUUUAUACGGGAAUAAACCUGAUUACGUGUGAUCAGCUGAAUGUACUGUAAGAAUAAGGAUCGGCUAACUCCGUGCCAGCAGCCGCGGUAAUACGGAGGAUCCAAGCGUUAUCCGGAUUUAUUGGGUUUAAAGGGUGCGUAGGUGGCCUGUUAAGUCAGGGGUGAAAGACGGUAGCUCAACUAUCGCAGUGCCCUUGAUACUGAUGGGCUUGAAUGAACUAGAGGUAGGCGGAAUGUGACAAGUAGCGGUGAAAUGCAUAGAUAUGUCACAGAACACCAAUUGCGAAGGCAGCUUACUAUGGUUUUAUUGACACUGAGGCACGAAAGCGUGGGGAUCAAACAGGAUUAGAUACCCUGGUAGUCCACGCCCUAAACGAUGAAUACUCGAUGUUGGCGAUAUACGGUCAGCGUCUAAGCGAAAGCGUUAAGUAUUCCACCUGGGGAGUACGCCCGCAAGGGUGAAACUCAAAAGAAUUGACGG
rnacentral:rRNA from 1 species